UGGUGUUAUUUGGUAAUUGUUAUCUAGGGUCCUAUUUUUGGUUAACAUAUUGCAUAUUCUUUACAUUUUAUGAUGUUAAACCUUUCUCCUUAUUAGAAGAUGAUGGUGAUUCAAGUGUGGGGGAGGACUCGUACAUAGGUAAUGGUGCCAUUGGACAUAUUUAUUUUAUCAGUGGUACUAUAAUGAAUGUGAGGUUCGAAGAUGGAGUGCCUCUGAUCCUUACCACGCUUGAGGUUCUUGAUCAUUCUACAAGAUAGGAACAUAUAUUGCACAUUCGUUAUUAGAAGAUGGUGGUGAUUCAAUUGUGGAGGAUGACUCAAACAUAGACACAUAUAUGGAAAUAAGGAGCUUGUCACUGUGACUGUUGUCGAUUCACUCCUCCACAAAAGGUAGCUACAUUAGCAUGGGAC